rnacentral:rRNA from 1 species
GAUAAACGCUGGCGGCGUGCCUAACACAUGCAAGUCGAACGUCCUCUCUCGCAAGAGAGAGGGAGUGGCGGACGGGUGAGUAACACAUGGGUCACCUACCCUUAAGUGAGGAAUACCGGCGAGAAAUCGCCGACAAGACCGCAUAGGCUCUCUCUUUUGCAAGAGAGAGCAAAGCUUCGCAAGAGGCGCUUGAGGAUGGGCCUGUGGCCGAUUAGCUGGUUGGAGGGUAAUGGCUUACCAAGGCGACGAUCGGUAGCUGGUCUGAGAGGACGAUCAGCCACACUGGGAUUGAG